rnacentral:misc_RNA from 1 species
ACCGCAAAACCCUAACCCUCGUCAUGAAUAGACUGGGCUCUCGACGGGCGUUCCUGGCCAAAGCUCAGCUGGCGGCGCUGGAUUUGCUCUCGAUUUCGCCCUCCCGCUCUUCUAGGAGAUACUUGCACGCACUACCGUUUGCUUCAGUAGCUGUUGAAGACAUUUCAAGUUCUAAUCCUGCCGAAUUACAGAACUUACUGCAGGGU